UACGUAGGGGGCUAGCGUUGUCCGGAUUUAUUGGGCGUAAAGAGCGUGUAGGCGGCUAGGUAGGUCCGUUGUGAAAACUCGAGGCUCAACCUCGAGACGUCGAUGGAAACCAUCUGGCUAGAGUCCGGAAGAGGAGAGUGGAAUUCCUGGUGUAGCGGUGAAAUGCGCAGAUAUCAGGAAGAACACCCGUGGCGAAGGCGGCUCUCUGGUACGUGACUGACGCUGAGACGCGAAAGCGUGGGGAGCGAACAGG
rnacentral:rRNA from 1 species